rnacentral:rRNA from 1 species
GAUGAACGCUAGCUACAGGCUUAACACAUGCAAGUCGCGGGGCAGCAUGGGGGUUGCUUGCAAUCCCCGAUGGCGACCGGCGCACGGGUGAGUAACGCGUAUCCAACCUGCCCUUCACCACGGGAUAACCCGGCGAAAGUCGGACUAAUACCGUAUGUUGUCCAUUGACGGCAUCCGAUUUGGACGAAAGGUUUGGCGGUGAAGGAUGGGGAUGCGUCCGAUUAGCUGGACGGCGGGGUGACGGCCCACCGUGGCGAUGAUCGGUAGGGGUUCUGAGAGGAAGGUCCCCCACACUGGAACUGAGACACGGUCCAGACUCCUACGGGAGGCAGCAGUGAGGAAUAUUGGUCAAUGGGCGUAAGCCUGAACCAGCCAAGUAGCGUGCAGGAUGACGGCCCUAUGGGUUGUAAACUGCUUUUAUGCGGGGAUAAAGUGGCCCACGUGUGGGUUUUUGCAGGUACCGCAUGAAUAAGGACCGGCUAAUUCCGUG